rnacentral:rRNA from 1 species
UGGCGACCGGCGCACGGGUGAGUAACACGUAUCCAACCUGCCGAUGACUCGGGGAUAGCCUUUCGAAAGAAAGAUUAAUACCCGAUGGCAUAGUUCUUCCGCAUGGUAGAACUAUUAAAGAAUUUCGGUCAUCGAUGGGGAUGCGUUCCAUUAGCUUGUUGGCGGGGUAACGGCCCACCAAGGCAUCGAUGGAUAGGGGUUCUGAGAGGAAGGUCCCCCACGUUGGAACUGAGACACGGUCCAAACUCCUACGGGAGGCAGCAG